GCUCGAUUAGUUUAGUUGGUCAUAACGUGUGCUUCACACGCACAAGGUCUUGGGUUCGAACCCCAAAUCGAGUA